UACGUAGGGGGCAAGCGUUGUCCGGAUUUAUUGGGCGUAAAGAGCGUGUAGGCGGUUUGGUAGGUCCGUUGUGAAAACUCGAGGCUCAACCUCGAGACGCCGGCGGAAACCAUCAGGCUAGAGUCCGGAAGAGGAGAGUGGAAUUCCUGGUGUAGCGGUGAAAUGCGCAGAUAUCAGGAAGAACACCCGUGGCUAAGGCGGCUCUCUAGUAAGGUACUGACGCUGAGACGCGAAAGCGUGGGGAGCGAACAGG
rnacentral:rRNA from 1 species